GGAAGGUGAGGAUGACGUCAAGUCAGCAUGCCCCUUACGCCCUGGGCUACACACGUGCUACAAUGGCGGUGACAGAGGGACGCGAAACCGCGAGGUUGAGCAAAUCCCCAAAAGCCGUCUCAGUUCGGAUUGCACUCUGCAACUCGGGUGCAUGAAGGCGGAAUCGCUAGUAAUCGUGGAUCAGCACGCCACGGUGAAUACGUUCCCGGGCCUUGUACACACCGCCCGUCACACCAUGGAAGCUGGUCACACCCAAAGUCGUUAUUCUAACCGUUUGGAGGAAGGCGCCUAAGGUAGGAUUGGUGACUGGGGUGAAGUCGAAACAAGGUAGCCGUAGGGGAACC
rnacentral:rRNA from 14 species